rnacentral:rRNA from 1 species
ACAGCCCAGCGCAUAAUCUCCCGGGCUACCAAGCCUGCGGCGAAAUGUUGCGUAAAGGGAAAGGUCGUUACAAAGCCCUGCACAGCGUGUUUGUCCUAAAUACGAUUUGAAUAUUCGCGGUGAUCUAACGGUUGCUUCGGUUCCACAGAGGGUGACAGACCCGUGUGGACCACGUUUAUUUGUGCAUGGGUUCGGCUUACAUUCCCUGAGAGUCGCGUUGCUUGAGCUUGCAGCGCUAAUCAGGUCGUAAACUCGACCUAAGGCUAAAUAUUUCCACAGAACCGAUAGUAAACAAGUACCGUGAGGGAAAGUUGAAAAGUACUCUGAAGAGAGAGUUAAAAGACCGUGAAACCGCUUAGAGUAUAAGCCAAUGGUAUUCGGAAGGCUGGGAGUGCCAGUCUGACUUGUCAUGAUGUCGGUAUCGUAUGCGAUGCAUAAGAAGUUGAAAGAAGGGCCUUGAGUGGACUACCACUUGCCAACUUGCGGGUCAUGUGAGGAAGGGGGGUCAUGAGCCCCACGACCAUCUUGGCUUUUGUAAGCGGUCAAUGAGUUGCAGACACGAGUAUUCCUAAAACAGCCCACCACAACUCUUUAUGAGGUCACCCGCAUGUGCACGCGUAUGAUGUCUUCGGGCGAGCACUUGGCUUGUGGCUAAUGCCGGCCGUUGAUUUCACGUGUGUCCAAACAUGUGUCUGGUGAUCCUCUGUGAAGGUUGCAAUUCUGACCAUCCUAACCUCCAGUAUCGCAACGCUACAGAGGCGAAUCGAUGUGCGGUCGCACGAACUCGUCUGUGCAUGAGGGGGGAUGAUUUGGUGUCUUAUUCCGGAGCCAUUGGUCACGUCUCGAAACACGGGCCAAGGAGCAUAGCAUGUGUGCAAGUCCAAGGGUCUCCCAAAACCUGAAGGCGAAGUGAAAGCAAGUGGUGUGUCCGUGUCUUCGGAUGCGGGCAGCUAGUGAUGUACGCAAUUCCCAGAGAUGGAUGGAUGCGGUGUUCCAGCUGAAAACCGGGUUGAUCCGACGCAAUCAAGACGCUUGUCGAUGCGUCGGCGCAAACCCCAGGCUCCCAGUAUAGCAUGUUACGUGUUUGGGAGCACUGUGUAGCAUGCAUGCUAUGACCCGAAAGAUGGUGAACUAUGCUUGGCGA